CAAGUCUUUCUUUCGUAUCAAUUCAGCUUUCUGUUGUCCAUUUAUUAGUCUCAUUAGUAGGACUUCAGCUUUAUUUCAUUUCAGCUCCGUCUUUCUUUCCUUUCGGUGUCAGCCUUUCUCCACCUACAAACAACACAGCUCCUCCAAAUACUAAAAACACAGCUCCAUUUCCGCACUCACAGUCUCCUUACGAAUGCUCCGACUCGUGCCCCAACUCUCCGAUUUAACUGCCGCACCAUGGCUGCAAGUGAGCUCAUCGAAGGCAGCGAGAUCCUUGUUGAGAAGAGUCCUGCAAAGAGCAGA